GAGAGAAGAUUCUAUGGUUGUCCAAAUUAUGGAGUAAGCUUUCUUGAAAUUUCAGGUCAGUUUGGGUUUGAGAUAUAGGGUUAAAAUUUGGUCUUGAUAGCUGAUGUUCUUCGUGCAUUUUAGGUAACUCGUGCUUGUGACUAUUUCAAGUGGUAUGACCCGCCAAUGUGUAGUAGAUCUGUGUCAAUAAUACUUGGUCUAUUAAGAACAAUCAACCGCCUACAAGCUGAUCAAGAACAGGGAAUCCGAAGAGAGAAAUUGCUUUGGACUGCUUUGGUUGCCUCUUGGAUAUGCACUUUGCUGCUAUUAAUAAGCUGGAAUUAAACAAAAAUUGGAAGAUAGUUAUUGGUAGGUCUAACAUGUUGUUUUAAUUGUGUCUAGCUUUAUCGAAAGCUGUGAAUCCAAAAGUAUGUAUCAGUAUCCAAAAUAUGAGAAGGCUUUUUGUACCUGCUGCAUUUUUGUGUCUGGUUGUGUAAUAGUAACUGUUGCACUUUUGUUAAUUAUUGUGUAAUAGGAAAGACUCAUAUUUGUACCAUUUACAAUUAUGAAUGCAAAGCUGGCUUUUGG
rnacentral:lncRNA from 1 species